GCGCCGUUAGCUCAGUUGGUUAGAGCACCCGACUUUUAAUCGGGGGGUCCAGAGUUCAAGUCUCUGACGGCACA
rnacentral:tRNA from 1 species